AACGAACGCUGGCGGCAGGCUUAACACAUGCAAGUCGAACGCACCUUUCGGGGUGAGUUGCAGACUGGUGAGUAACGCGUGGGAAUCUACCCUUCUCUACGGGCUAGCUCCGGGAAACUGGAAUUAAUACCGUAUACGUCCUGAGGGCGAAAGAUUUAUCGGGGAAGGAUUAGCCCGCGUUGGAUUAGCUAGUUGGUGGGGUAAAGGCCUACCAAGGCGACGAUCCAUAGCUGGUCUAAGAGGAUGAUCAGCCACAUUGGGACUGAGACACGGCCCAAACUCCUACGGGAGGAAGAAGUGGGGAAUAUUGGACAAUGGGCGCAAGACUGAGCCAGCCAUGCCGCGUGAGUGAGGAAGGACCGAGGGUUGUAAAGCUGUUUCAGUGGGGAAGAUAAUGACGGUACCCACAGAAGAAGCCCCGGCUAACUUCGUG
rnacentral:rRNA from 1 species